rnacentral:tRNA from 1 species
CAUCACCACAAAAAUUCCAAAUCAUAUUGUUGCAGCUCUGAUUCCUCAACAAAAUGGAGCAACGAAAUAAGAA